rfam:Rattus norvegicus chromosome 2, whole genome shotgun sequence.
UUACAGGUAUGGAGACAUGGUGCCUAAGACAAUUGCUGGGAAGAUAUUUGGCUCCAUCUGCUCCCUAAGCGGCGUCCUGGUCAUUGCUCUGCCAGUCCCCGUCAUAGUCUCCAAC